CGUACACUCCUACGGGAGGCAGCAGUGGGGAAUAUUGGACAAUGGGCGCAAGCCUGAUCCAGCCAUGCCGCGUGAGUGAUGAAGGCCCUAGGGUUGUAAAGCUCUUUCACCGGUGAAGAUAAUGACGGUAACCGGAGAAGAAGCCCCGGCUAACUUCGUGCCAGCAGCCGCGGUAAUACGAAGGGGGCUAGCGUUGUUCGGAUUUACUGGGCGUAAAGCGCACGUAGGCGGACUAUUAAGUCAGGGGUGAAAUCCCGGGGCUCAACCCCGGAACUGCCUUUGAUACUGGUAGUCUUGAGUUCGAGGGAGGUGAGUGGAAUUCCGAGUGUAGAGGUGAAAUUCGUAGAUAUUCGGAGGAACACCAGUGGCGAAGGCGGCUCACUGGCUCGAUACUGACGCUGAGGUGCGAAAGCGUGGGGAGCAAAUAGGAUUAGAAACCCUUGUAGUCCCAU
rnacentral:rRNA from 1 species